ensembl:lncRNA
UAGUGUUUUCCCCAUUCACUUAUAUUGCCUUUUGGAAGCACCUUUCACCCUCUGUAAAAAGCCAAGGAAAAGGUUUAUCUGUCCGAGCUUGAGGUAUGUUGUAGCACCAACAACCUUCUCUUUGAGCUAAAAGUUUGGAGCUUCAGCCUCUUAAGAUGGCAGAGCGACACCGUUGAACGCUUCCCAAAGGUCAAUAGGUCAAGGAAGGCCUUCCAAAAAGAGUACAGUACCCAAUCUGGAAGUGUCUACCGUUCCACAAUGAAAAGACAGAAAUGCCCCAAAACAAUACUCUAGGC